UACGUAGGGCGCAAGCGUUGUCCGGAAUUAUUGGGCGUAAAGGGCUCGUAGGCGGUCUGUCGCGUCGGCUGUGAAAACCCGAGGCUCAACCUCGGGCCUGCAGUCGAUACGGGCAGACUAGAGUGCUGUAGGGGAGACUGGAAUUCCUGGUGUAGCGGUGAAAUGCGCAGAUAUCAGGAGGAACACCGGUGGCGAAGGCGGGUCUCUGGGCAGUAACUGACGCUGAGGAGCGAAAGCGUGGGGAGCAAACAGG
rnacentral:rRNA from 1 species